UACAGAGGGUCCGAGCGUUAAUCGGAAUUACUGGCGUAAAGCGUGCGCAGGCGGUUUUGUAAGCCAGAUGUGAAAAGCCCCGGGCUCAACCUGGGAACUGCAUUUGGGACUGCAAGGCUGGAGUACGGCAGAGGGAGGUGGAAUUCCACGUGUAGCAGUGAAAUGCGUAGAGAUGUGGAGGAACACCGAUGGCGAAGGCAGCCUCCUGGGCUAGUACUGACGCUCAUGCACGAAAGCGUGGGGAGCAAACAGGAAU
rnacentral:rRNA from 1 species